GAAAGAACAAGAACUCCAGGGAAGAAGUGAAGUUAGUAACAUGCAUUAAUGGGACAUGAAUGAGGGCAGAAAGAGAGAGGAAGAGAGGAGCUCAGUGCACCAUGGGAAAUCCCCCAAUAGUCUAGGCCUAUAGCAGCAUAACUAAGGGAUGGUUCAGGACUCAUCUGAUCCAGCCCUAACUAUAAGCUUUAUCAAAGAGGAAUGUCUUAAGCCUACUCUUGAAUGUGGUGAGGGUGUCUGCCUCCCGAACCACAACUGGAAGCUGGUUCCACAGGAGAGGAGCUUGGUAACUGAAGGCUCUGGCUCCUGUUCUACUUUUAGAGACUAUAGGAACCACAAGUAGCCCAGCAUUCAGAGAACGUAGUGUUCUAGAGGGGUAAUAGGGUACUAUGAGCUCUUUAAGAUAUGAAGGGGCCUGACCAUGAAGAGCUUUAUAGGUGAGGAGGAGGAUUUUAAAUUCUAUUCUACAUUUUACAGGGAGCCAAUGCAGAGAAGCUAGUACAGGAGAGAUGUGAUCUCUUUUUCUAGUUCCUGUCAGUACUCGUGCUGCAGCGUUCUGAAUUAAUUGGAGCGUUUUAAUGCACUUAUUGGGGCAACCUGAUAAUAAAGAGUUGCAGUAAUCCAGCCUUGAAGUAACAAAUGCAUGGAUUAGUUUUUCUGCAUCUGUCUGUGAUAGUAUGUCUCUAAUUUUUGUAAUAUUACGUAAAUGAAAGAAGGCAGUCCUGGAGGUUUGCUUUAUGUGGGAGUUAAAUGACAAAUCCUGAUCAAAGAUAACUCCAAGAUUCCUGACAGUCGUGCUAGAGGCCAAGUUAAUGCCAUUUAGAGCAACUAUAUCUUUAGACAGUGAGUCUCUAAGGUUUUUGGGGCCAAGAACAAGAAUUUCGUUUUUUUCUGAGUUUAACAUCAGAAAAUUGCAGGUCAUCCAGGAUUUUAUGUCCUUAAGACAUGUUUGUAAUUUAGAUAAUUGAUUAAUUUCAUUGGGUUUGAUUGAUAGAUAUAACUGCGUAUCAUCUGCAUAACAGUGAAAGUUAAUGGAGUGAUUCCUAAUAAUGUUGCCUAAAGGGAGCAUAUAUAAAGUAAAUAGUAUUGGUCCAAGUACAGAACCUUGUGGAACUCCAUGACUAACUUUAGUAUUUAUGGAGGAUUCAUCGUUAACAUGUACAAACUGAGUACGAUCUGAUAAGUAUGACUUAAACCAGGUUAGGGCAGUUCCUUUAAUGCCAAUUUGAUGCUCAAGUCUCUGUAAAAGAAUAUCAUGGUCAAUGGUGUCAAAUGCAGCACUAAGAUCUAAUAAUACAAGUACAGAGACAAGUCCAUUGUCAGAAGCAGUCAGAAGGUCAUUAUUAACUUUAACCAGAGCUGUCUCUGUGCUAUGAUGAACUCUAAAUCCUGACUGAAAAUCCUCAAAUAAACUAUUGUUAUGUAGAAAGUCACACAACUCUUUGGCGACUACUUUCUCCAGAAUCUUAGAGAGGAACGGGAGGUUAGAAAUUGGUCUAUAGUUGGCUAAAACCCCUGGGUCAUGAG